rnacentral:rRNA from 1 species
GUGGGGAAUAUUGGACAAUGGGCGAAAGCCUGAUCCAGCCAUGCCGCGUGUGUGAAGAAGGUCUUCGGAUUGUAAAGCACUUUAAGUUGGGAGGAAGGGCAUUAACCUAAUACGUUAGUGUUUUGACGUUACCAACAGAAUAAGCACCGGCUAACUUCGUGCCAGCAGCCGCGGUAAUACGAAGGGUGCAAGCGUUAAUCGGAAUUACUGGGCGUAAAGCGCGCGUAGGUGGUUCAGCAAGUUGGAGGUGAAAUCCCCGGGCUCAACCUGGGAACUGCCUCCAAAACUACUGAGCUAGAGUACGGUAGAGGGUAGUGGAAUUUCCUGUGUAGCGGUGAAAUGCGUAGAUAUAGGAAGGAACACCAGUGGCGAAGGCGACUACCUGGACUGAUACUGACACUGAGGUGCGAAAGCGUGGGGAGCAAACAGGAUUAGAUACCCCGGUAGUCC